AUCAACUUUCGAUGGUAGGAUAGAGGCCUACCAUGGUGGUAACGGGUAACGGGGUGUUAGGGCACGACACCGGAGAGGGAGCCUGAGAAACGGCUACCACAUCCAAGGAUGGCAGCAGGCGCGCAAAUUACCCAAUCCCGACACGGGGAGGUAGUGACAAUAAAUAACAAUACGGGGUUCUUUCGGAUCUCGUAAUUGGAAUGAGUACAAUUUAAAUCUCUUAACGAGGAACAAUUGGAGGGCAAGUCUGGUGCCAGCAGCCGCGGUAAUUCCAGCUCCAAUAGCGUAUAUUAAAGUUGUUGCAGUUAAAAAGCUCGUAGUUGAAUUUCGGGGUUAGUAGGUUGGUCAUGCCUCUGGUAUGUACUGAUCUCACUGAUUCCUCCUUCCUGAUGAACCGUAAUGCCAUUAAUUUGGUGUUGCGGGGAAUUUGGACUGUUACUUUGAAAAAAUUAGAGUGUUUAAAGCAAGCUAACGCUUGAAUACAUUAGCAUGGAAUAAUGAAAUAGGACGUUCGAUCCUAUUUUGUUGGUUUCUAGGAUUGACGUAAUGAUUAAUAGGGAUAGUUGGGGGCAUUAGUAUUCAAUUGUCAGAGGUGAAAUUCUUGGAUUUAUUGAAGACUAACUACUGCGAAAGCAUUUGCCAAGGAUGUUUUCAUUAAUCAAGAACGAAAGUUAGGGGAUCGAAGACGAUCAGAUACCGUCGUAGUCUUAACUAUAAACUAUGCCGACUAGGGAUCGGAUGAUGUUAAUUUUUUAAUGACUCAUUCGGCGCCUUACGGGAAACCAAAGUGUUUGGGUCC
rnacentral:rRNA from 1 species